rnacentral:rRNA from 1 species
AUUGAACGCUGGCGGCAUGCCUUACACAUGCAAGUCGAACGGCAGCACGGGAGCAAUCCUGGUGGCGAGUGGCGAACGGGUGAGUAAUAUAUCGGAACGUGCCCGGUCGUGGGGGAUAACGUAGCGAAAGCUACGCUAAUACCGCAUACGAUCUACGGAUGAAAGCGGGGGAUCGCAAGACCUCGCGCGAUUGGAGCGGCCGAUAUCAGAUUAGGUAGUUGGUCAGGUAAAGGCUCACCAAGCCGACGAUCUGUAGCUGGUCUGAGAGGACGACCAGCCACACUGGGACUGAGACACGGCCCAGACUCCUACGGGAGGCAGCAGUGGGGAAUUUUGGACAAUGGGCGCAAGCCUGAUCCAGCAAUGCCGCGUGCAGGAUGAAGGCC